AAGUUAUACCGAAAUUUUGAUAUUGAAAAAUGGAAUAAUUUUUUACAAUUCAAAGAAAAAUAUAACGAAAUAAAUAAUGCAGACCCAAAAGCACAUUUAAAUCAUGUUUACAGGGUAUAACAUAUUGUUUAAAGUUGUUUGCUAGUCCCCGCCCCGCUGGCCGGCAACUGUUCGCCACCCUUUUUAAACAGAUCGCGGCUAUGGUUUUGGAGUACCCGUUCGAGACAAGGGAAAAUAUUGUUUCGAGACACAUUUGGUGAGCUAUUGUUGUCAUUCGAACUCGGAGGGACUCGCAUCGCCGCCGCGCCCUGUCUGACAUGUGGGCACAUCAUCAUCAUCAUCUUGAACAUCAACAUCAACAUCAUCAGCCACAACCAGAGGCGGGACUGGGCCUUUACCUACACUUUAGCCUGUGCUUCGAUUUCUGUUUGCUGUUCGUGCCACAUAUGUGUUGCAUGUGUUGCAUGCGGCAUCUGCACCAAUCCACUGGAAUAUGCUCAUCGCACGAGUCUGGAAGUAUCGUGGGGAAAAAAAGGGUUUCCUCACUAGUUUCCCCCGUUCAUGUCAGCCAAAAUACCAAAACUUUUGACCUUCGUACCAUACUCGACUUAUAGGUAAUAUAUUUCCUGCCCAGGCCAAAAAUAACCCCAUGAUUUGCAAUAUUUGGCAAAUAAACAGAAACGUAUACAAAGAAAAUGCUCAUUCGGCUAACAAUUGAAUAUGCCGCUUGUUGGAAUUGGCCAGCGAUUUUUCAAGUUCAAAUAAUUUUCAAAUAUUUCACAGGCAGAAAGAAAAUACUUUUGUGUUUAUAUCAAAAACAAUGCGAGUGAGCCGUGCAAUUCGCAAUGGCUCGUUGCAUGCGAAUACGUGCCAAAACCGAAGGUUAUUAACUAGUUCAGCUAGGCAAACCCAUCUCUAACGAUCUACACAAAAACGAAACAAUCAAGCGACUGCCAAAGCCAACAAAACAGCAGCUAAAACAGAAGCACAGAAGCUGCCCCAACAGGCCACAUUCAUAUAUAGUAUACAUAUACCCAUACACUUCCACUACAGAGAGAAAGACAGACACAUCAUUUAGAAUGUUUGUUUAUGCGGCGGGAAAAUAUUGCAUGUUCAUAUCUGUAGUAUAAUGCCGACGUCUCGGCCAAUAUACGUAUAUGUACGUGUUGAUAAACACACGCGCUGUUGGAGAAUGAAGUGUAGUCAAAAAUUUCAUGGGAAAAAUUCUCAAAACUAAACGGCUAGUUAUUGUAUAAAAUGUGUUUGCUUUACAGUGGUCACUCGGUAAUUACAACUGUAAAAUUUUUGUUUAUAUAUUCAUAUUUUUAAAUAC